AUUGAACGCUGGCGGCAGGCUUAACACAUGCAAGUCGAGCGGGGUGAUGGUGCUUGCACUAUCACUUAGCGGCGGACGGGUGAGUAAUGCUUAGGAAUCUGCCUAUUAGUGGGGGACAACAUCUCGAAAGGGAUGCUAAUACCGCAUACGUCCUACGGGAGAAAGCAGGGGAUCACUUGUGACCUUGCGCUAAUAGAUGAGCCUAAGUCGGAUUAGCUAGUUGGUGGGGUAAAGGCCUACCCAGGCGACGAUCUGUAGCGGGUCUGAGAGGAUGAUCAGCCACACUGGGACUGAGACACGGCCCAGACUCCUACGGGAGGCAGCAGUGGGGAAUAUUGGACAAUGGGGGGAACCCUGAUCCAGCCAUGCCGCGUGUGUGAAGAAGGCCUUAUGGUUGUAAAGCACUUUAAGCGAGGAGGAGGCUCCUUUGGUUAAUACCCAAGAUGAGUGGACGUUACUCGCAGAAUAAGCACCGGCUAACUCUGUGCCAGCCGCCGCCGUAA
rnacentral:rRNA from 1 species